rnacentral:rRNA from 1 species
CAGCCGCCGCGGGAAUACGUAGGGUGCGAGCGUUAAUCGGAAUUACUGGGCGUAAAGCGUGCGCAGGCGGUUGUGUAAGACAGGUGUGAAAUCCCCGGGCUUAACCUGGGAACUGCGCUUGUGACUGCACAGCUAGAGUAUGGCAGAGGGGGGUGGAACUCCACGUGUAGCAGUGAAAUGCGUAGAGAUGUGGAGGAACAUCGAUGGCGAAGGCAGCCCCCUGGGCCAAUACUGACGCUCAUGCACGAAAGCGUGGGGAGCAAACAGGAUUAGAUACCCCCGUAGUCCCUGUCUCUUAUAC